UAGAAAGAGAGGAGCGUGCGGAGGGCUGGUGCGCCCACCCCCAACCCCAGGUGACCCCCGCCUCCGCGCUGGCCCUGGUCCCCUCCCUCUCCCGGCCGAGCGCGCCUCCGGGGUCAGUCCCUCCGGGCUGCGCGUGUGUGUAUCCCAGAGCUCCGCUCCGGGGUCUGUUCUGCCGCUGGCGGCUCCGCGCCGCACAGCCCUGCACUAGAGAACUGGAGUAGAGAAGGAGAAGCCAACGGCAAAUUCCGGGCAGGAAGUCGACCUACCCUUGCCUCUGGCCAGGUCGCAGUGUAGCAAUAAAAAUCACAUGUCAGUUCAGACAGCAGCAGGAAUAGCUGACUGGAAAGAAACUCCAAGGGACUUCAGAUAAUAUGAUUUCAGGAGGCUGGCCGGGAGCUCAGACACCAUUCAAAACAUCUUGACUUUCAUGAGAGCUUCUUAAGACCCACCUCACUCAGACGUCGUUUUCUCAAAAACGGAGGGCAAGUUUAUUCAUAAUCCACAUCAAUCCAGUUGAAAAGGGAGGGAGCAGAGUGAGGAUGAAAGAAGACAAAAAUAUUUACUCCUUCAGUGAUGAACAAAGAGGGCCAAGCUCUCGGUUCUGUGUUUCUACACCUUUGCUGAUAUCUUAAUAAAAUUA